rnacentral:lncRNA from 1 species
UGUUUGUUUACCAAAGAAAAUAUUCCACUCAUCAGAAAUAUUUCUCCUGGUCAACUAAAAACUGUGAUACUUGGGAUUUCUUGGCCUUCAUAAGGAAAAUAAGAAAAGCCAAGGUAAGAGUUAUGAUACUCUCUCACUUCAUGAAAUUCAUCAGAAGAUGUAAAUUCACAAGGAACUUGGGGUUUGCAAGAAAGAAAAUGAUACUUGAAACAGGGCAUUGUUUAGUCCUCCAGCAAUGUUCCAACAAGUAGCACUAGGACUCCUCAGGCUAAAAGAAGUACAGUUUAUUCCAGAGAAAAUAUAGGAAAGCAUCAUGAAAAAUUCCUCUCCAUUGUUCCAGUCCAUAAGUUUUGAGGUUUUUUGGUGUUUUUGGUUUAGUUUGUGAAUUUUGUUUGUUUCUCUGUUUGUGUUUGCUUGUUUAGCACCUGUCUUUCCUACCACUUUUACCCCCUCAAUCUUCAGUUAGAAAUGAGAUCAUCAGAUGCCAUCCUCCAUGGCCACAGUUAUUUAUACAACAUACUGCUAUCAACAAGACCCUUGAGAACCAUUUUGAAUAACCACCACCCAGUUGUAAGUGGCAUUCUGGGACCAUGACACUACUUUCUUCCAGCCUUAGAAGCAGAUUUUGGAAAUAUCCCUCAUAGGAACAGAUGAGAUGGAGCACUGCCUUAGGGAUGUGGUCUGAGGCAGAACCUCUUGGACACAAAUGGUAUUCUCAUAGUAUCUUUAUUCCUUUAAAUUCCAUUAAAGUAUCCCUGCAGCUUUCAUAGUGCUUGUUCUCUAUGAAUCUCUGUUUUCUCAUCUGUAAAAUGGGGGUAAUAAUAGUAAAUGUCUUUAAAUUCAGAAAAUAUUUAUUGAGUCCCUAAUAUCACCCAUGUACUGUUUGAGAGAUUGGAGACACAAGAGUGAACAAAUCAGAUAAAAAAUAAUCUGCCCUCUUUGAGUUGACAUUUGAGUGAUGUUUGCUGUGAGGAUUAAGUGAGAUGACACAUGGAAAACACUUGUAGCAAAGCCUGGCAAAGAGAACUCAAGAUGUUAUUAUUUUUAACUUGUCAAUCUCACACAGUAGCACCAGGAUGUAAAGCUAGAGAGAUAUAGAUUUGGGACCACAAUUAGGGCUAUUUAAGGAUGCAAUAGGUUGCCACAAAAAAAAAUUAGUUAAUUCCUGGUCGUUUUAGGACAUUCAAAAUUAGGCUGGAUCACCAUUUAGUGGAGCAACUGUAAAGGAGGUGCAAGCCCUGGAUGUUGGGGUUAGACUCUAAACCUAGAAAAAUGGGAUAUAGGCACUUGGGGUAGGCAGUGGGAAUGGGACAGUACUAAUUAUUAACUAUGCCUGGCUUGUCUGAAGAUAUUUGAAUAUUCUUUUUGGGUGAUUUGCUUUUAAAUUUUUGCUCAAUAAAAAGUAUCAGGUAUUUGAAGACAAAGUUCUUACUUUUAAAAAGCAUGGUAAAGUUGUAAUACAAAGGAAAAUAUUAAAUUAGUACCAUACUGGAUUAGUUGGCAAAGAACUGAGAAUAGAUAAAGCCAACACAUUGCAGAGUUCCUCCCUGUGGUGGUUACAACUGUUUAUUUCUGUUUCAUGCCAGUUCAGGAUAAAGGAAAGAGGAAAGUGAAUGAGCUAGAAUCUGUUCACCUGAAUAGGCAGUCUCAGGAUGUCCUCCCCAGCCUGCCUCACAGCUGCCCCACUCCCAUCUGCCCAGGUGAUCUGUUUGAAGUGCUCUUUGAUAUCUAUGAGGGAGCCAUGCAAGGAAGAGGAAGUGAGAUGACCAGAGAGCUGUGGUCUCUACAGAUUUUUUAGUUAUAUUAAAAUUAGUACCACAAGAGUUCAGAGGAGGCUGCCUGGUAGGGAAAGAAGGCUUUUUUUCAGAGUACAAAGAAAGCAAUGUGUACCAAGGAGGCAACCUGCAGAAGAACCUUGGUGGAAGGAAUGAUGUUCAUGUGGAAUCUGCCAGCUUCUUCUCCCUCCAGAAUGUUGACCCCAGAUGAAUUUUUGGAUAGAAAUAAGCCUAAUCCCCCCCCUUUUUCACAUGAGAAAACUGAAACCUAGAGAAGUAAAAUUGUGUUCAGAGCUAAUUAGAAACAGAUGCAGGACUGUAAC